rnacentral:tRNA from 1 species
GGGCGAUUAGCUCAGUUGGGAGAGCACCUCCUUACAAGGAGGGGUCACUGGUUCGAGACCGGUAUCGCCCACCA